ACAAGGGUAGUGCAGUUGGUAGUGCAACAGACGGGAUAUCUGUAGAUGCGAAUUCGAAUCUCGCCUGAUGCU
rnacentral:tRNA from 1 species